ACUGACGGAGCCACCCAGGCGCCCCUGGCUUCUAUUCCAAGUGAGUUGAGAAGAUGUCACGGGGCUGUAUGGCCCACCAAGCCCACAGUAUUUCCCAUCUGGCCCUUCACGGAUAAAGCCUGCCGACCCCUGGCCUGGGCCCGGUGAUGGUGGGGGGCUGAUGACAAGUGGCCGCAUUCCAGCCGUACCGCGAAGGCUGAGCCGCAAGGUUCGCUGACUUGGACACGAGACGUGAGAGAACACGCAGAGCCAGAGCCUCGGGGCUCGGUGAUGAGAAGGCGGGAAGUGCCGUUAACCGGAGGGGGGACACGCGGUUUGAGGGCAGUCUGGAGCUCGGGUCAGGACAUUAUUAAGUCUGAAAUGCCCAUUAAACGGCCCCACGGAGAGCUCCAGCUCACUGAGAGACCACAUAAGGUGGGGGGGCCGGGGGCGACGUGGAACCUUCACAAGCCUGUUCUGCUGACUGAGAAGUUCCCGUUCAUUCUCUCGGGAAGUGCUUACCGAGCCCCUCGACGUGCUGGGCCCUUGCUAGGGGCUGGGCUUGAUGAAUAGAGAGACCUAUGUGUGACAGUAGUGUGCCGGGCAGUGUUCCCAGUGCUGGGACAGAAUGGUGAGCACAGCUGAGAGAGGCCAUGCUCCUCGACUGGUCCUGUUCACACUCAAGGGGAACGUGGGCAAAGCACCUAUCACGUAACAUGAGGUUGGGACAUACCAGGUGCUGUGAAGAGAGCCUGGCAGGGGACCCAGAGCACCAGAGGAAGUGGUCAGGGAAAGCCACUCUAAGGAAGUAUUAUCUGAGCCAUAGCCAGAAAGAAGCCGAAGGGAGGACCGGCCUGAGGCUCCCUGUGGGAAGUGCAAAGGCCCUGAGGCAGCAGUGAGUUUGGCAGUGCUCUGGAACAUCCAGCGGGAACAGAAUGGUCUUGAGCAGCUGAGGAGGCUGGAGUGCACGGAGGCCCAGACCAGCACUUUGGGAAGUCGCUGGAGUGCCACCACCUGCUUUGGUUUUGAGAAAGAGCCCUCCCGCUGCCACUGCUGGGAGCAAGCAUGGAAGCAGACACAGCAGUGAGUCUCAGAAACAACCCAGGCCAGAGACCUCAGUGGGGCUUGGACUAGGGCAGAGGUGACAAGUGGUAAAAAAGACACUCUAGUUCCUGGAUCCUGAGACACCACUGAUUGAGACCAAGCUGCCAAUUUGGGGGGGGGGGGGGGGGUCGGGGAGUGGAGAACUUUCUAUAUAAACAUGACAUGUAUAUAUAUCAAUCAUAA